rnacentral:rRNA from 1 species
UACGUAGGGUGCGAGCGUUAAUCGGAAUUACUGGGCGUAAAGCGUGCGCAGGCGGUUCGCUGUGUCCGAUGUGAAAGCCCCGGGCUCAACCUGGGAACUGCAUUGGAAACUAACGGGCUCGAGUGUGGCAGAGGGGGGUGGAAUUCCACGUGUAGCAGUGAAAUGCGUAGAGAUGUGGAGGAACACCAGUGGCGAAGGCGACUCUUUGGCCUGUAACUGACGCUGAGGCGCGAAAGCGUGGGGAGCAAACAGG